rnacentral:rRNA from 1 species
UACGUAUGGUGCGAGCGUUAAUCGGAAUUACUGGGCGUAAAGCGUGCGUAGACGGCUAUCUAAGUCGGGUGUGAAAGCCCCGGGCUCAACCUGGGAAUUGCAUUCGAGACUGAAUAGCUAGGGUACGGUAGAGGGAAGCGGAAUUUCCGGUGUAGCGGUGAAAUGCGUAGAUAUCGAGAGGAACACCUGCGGCGAAGGCGGGUUGCUGGGCCGACACUGACGCUGAUGCGCGAAAGCCAGGGGAGCGAACGGG